GAUGAACGCUGGCGGCGUGCCUAAUACAUGCAAGUCGAGCGAACGGACGAGAAGCUUGCUUCUCUGAUGUUAGCGGCGGACGGGUGAGUAGCACGUGGAUAACCUACCUAUAAGACUGGGAUAACUUCGGGAAACCGGAGCUAAUACCGGAUAAUAUUUUGAACCGCAUGGUUCAAAAGUGAAAGACGGUCUUGCUGUCACUUAUAGAUGGAUCCGCGCUGCAUUAGCUAGUUGGUAAGGUAACGGCUUACCAAGGCAACGAUGCAUAGCCGACCUGAGAGGGUGAUCGGCCACACUGGAACUGAGACACGGUCCAGACUCCUACGGGAGGCAGCAGUAGGGAAUCUUCCGCAAUGGGCGAAAGCCUGACGGAGCAACGCCGCGUGAGUGAUGAAGGUCUUCGGAUCGUAAAACUCUGUUAUUAGGGAAGAACAUAUGUGUAAGUAACUGUGCACAUCUUGACGGUACCUAAUCAGAAAGCCACGGCUAACUACGUGCCAGCAGCCGCGGUAAUACGUAGGUGGCAAGCGUUAUCCGGAAUUAUUGGGCGUAAAGCGCGCGUAGGCGGUUUUUUAAGUCUGAUGUGAAAGCCCACGGCUCAACCGUGGAGGGUCAUUGGAAACUGGAAAACUUGAGUGCAGAAGAGGAAAGUGGAAUUCCAUGUGUAGCGGUGAAAUGCGCAGAGAUAUGGAGGAACACCAGUGGCGAAGGCGACUUUCUGGUCUGUAACUGACGCUGAUGUGCGAAAGCGUGGGGAUCAAACAGGAUUAGAUACCCUGGUAGUCCACGCCGUAAACGAUGAGUGCUAAGUGUUAGGGGGUUUCCGCCCCUUAGUGCUGCAGCUAACGCAUUAAGCACUCCGCCUGGGGAGUACGACCACAAGGUUGAAACUCAAAGGAAUUGACGGGGACCCGCACAAGCGGUGGAGCAUGUGGUUUAAUUCGAAGCAACGCGAAGAACCUUACCAAAUCUUGACAUCCUUUGACAACUCUAGAGAUAGAGCUUUCCCCUUCGGGGGACAAAGUGACAGGUGGUGCAUGGUUGUCGUCAGCUCGUGUCGUGAGAUGUUGGGUUAAGUCCCGCAACGAGCGCAACCCUUAAGCUUAGUUGCCAUCAUUAAGUUGGGCACUCUAAGUUGACUGCCGGUGACAAACCGGAGGAAGGUGGGGAUGACGUCAAAUCAUCAUGCCCCUUAUGAUUUGGGCUACACACGUGCUACAAUGGACAAUACAAAGGGCAGCGAAACCGCGAGGUCAAGCAAAUCCCAUAAAGUUGUUCUCAGUUCGGAUUGUAGUCUGCAACUCGACUACAUGAAGCUGGAAUCGCUAGUAAUCGUAGAUCAGCAUGCUACGGUGAAUACGUUCCCGGGUCU
rnacentral:rRNA from 1 species